GGGACAACGGACAAACAUAAAUCUCUAAACACAGCUAGGUGACUGGUGCGCGAUCAGCCACCUAGCUGUGUUUGGAGAUUUAUGUUUGUCCAUUGUCCCU
rnacentral:pre_miRNA from 1 species